UACGAAGGGUGCAAGCGUUAAUCGGAAUUACUGGGCGUAAAGCGUGCGUAGGCGGUUUGUUAAGUCUGUUGUGAAAUCCCCGGGCUCAACCUGGGAAUGGCAAUGGAUACUGGCAAGCUAGAGUGUGUCAGAGGAUGGUGGAAUUCCCGGUGUAGCGGUGAAAUGCGUAGAGAUCGGGAGGAACAUCAGUGGCGAAGGCGGCCAACUGGGACAACACUGACGCUGAGGCACGAAAGCGUGGGGAGCAAACAGG
rnacentral:rRNA from 1 species